GGUUCGGUAGCUCAGUUGGAACGAGCGCUCGCCUGAAAAGCGAGAGGCCGCCGGUUCGAUCCCGGCCCGAACCACCA
rnacentral:tRNA from 1 species